rnacentral:tRNA from 1 species
AUUUAAAUAGUUUAAUUAAAAUAUUGAUUUGUGGUAUCAAUGAUAUGACUUUUGUUAUUUUAAAUU